GUGCCUACUGUAACCCACGAAUAGGUAAGACAAACCUAUAGUAUAGAACUUAUAAUAAUGGACUACCCAUAAGAAUGUUGAAUAGAUGUAAUAAAAGACUAACAUACUUAAGAUAAUCCAAAAACCUAGUGGAAUCAGUAAAAGAUCCACGAACCUAAAAAUGAUACAAAUGAGGUACUAGAUACAAUAUACAGAUACAACCAUCUGAGAAUAUAACAUCGAG
rnacentral:lncRNA from 1 species